AAUAUUGCGCAAUGGGGGAAACCCUGACGCAGCAACGCCGCGUGAAGGAUGAAGGUUUUCGGAUCGUAAACUUCUUUGAUGAGGGACGAACACAAUGACGGUACCUCAAAAACAAGCCACGGCUAACUACGUGCCAGCCGCCGCGGUAAUACGUAGGUGGCGAGCGUUGUCCGGAAUUACUGGGUGUAAAGGGCGUGUAGGCGGGGAUGUAAGUCAGAUGUUAAAUCCCGUGGCUCAACUGUGGGGCUGCAUCUGAAACUAUGUCUCUUGAGUGCCGGAGAGGAAAGCGGAAUUCCUAGUGUAGCGGUGAAAUGCGUAGAUAUUAGGAGGAACACCAGUGGCGAAGGCGGCUUUCUGGACGGUAACUGACGCUGAGGCGCGAAAGCGUGGGGAGCAAACAG
rnacentral:rRNA from 1 species